rnacentral:rRNA from 1 species
UAGACAUGCAAGUCAGAGCGAACAGAAGGGAGCUUGCUCCCGGAUGUUAGCGGCGGACGGGUGAGUAACACGUGGGUAACCUGCCUGUAAGACUGGGAUAACUCCGGGAAACCGGAGCUAAUACCGGAUAGUUCCUUGAACCGCAUGGUUCAAGGAUGAAAGACGGUUUCGGCUGUCACUUACAGAUGGACCCGCGGCGCAUUAGCUAGUUGGUGGGGUAAUGGCUCACCAAGGCGACGAUGCGUAGCCGACCUGAGAGGGUGAUCGGCCACACUGGGACUGAGACACGGCCCAGACUCCUACGGGAGGCAGCAGUAGGGAAUCUUCCGCAAUGGACGAAAGUCUGACGGAGCAACGCCGCGUGAGUGAUGAAGGUUUUCGGAUCGUAAAGCUCUGUUGUUAGGGAAGAACAAGUGCGAGAGUAACUGCUCGCACCUUGACGGUACCUAACCAGAAAGCCACGGCUAACUACGUGCCAGCAGCCGCGGUAAUACGUAGGUGGCAAGCGUUGUCCGGAAUUAUUGGGCGUAAAGGGCUCGCAGGCGGUUUCUUAAGUCUGAUGUGAAAGCCCCCGGCUCAACCGGGGAGGGUCAUUGGAAACUGGGAAACUUGAGUGCAGAAGAGGAGAGUGGAAUUCCACGUGUAGCGGUGAAAUGCGUAGAGAUGUGGAGGAACACCAGUGGCGAAGGCGACUCUCUGGUCUGUAACUGACGCUGAGGAGCGAAAGCGUGGGGAGCGAACAGGAUUAGAUACCCUGGUAGUCCACGCCGUAAACGAUGAGUGCUAAGUGGUUAGGGGGUUUCCGCCCCUUAGUGCUGCAGCUAACGCAUUAAGCACUCCGCCUGGGGAGUACGGUCGCAAGACUGAAACUCAAAGGAAUUGACGGGGGCCGCACAAGCGGUGGAGCAUGUGG